GAAAGUAAGAAAGGGCGUAUGGCGGAUGCCUAGGCUCACGGAGGCGAUGAAGGACGUGAUAAGCUGCGACAAGCCCUGGGUAGGUGCAAAUGACCGUUGAUCCAGGGAUUUCCGAAUGGGACAACCCGGCAGUCUGAAGGACUGUCAUCCGGAUGAAUUUCCGGAGGCGAACGGAGGGAACUGAAACAUCUUAGUACCUCCAGGAAGAGAAAAUAAACAAUGAUUCCCCCAGUAGUGGCGAGCGACCGGGGAAGAGCCCAAACCGGUGUUGUCAAGGCAACGCCGG
rnacentral:rRNA from 1 species